rnacentral:SRP_RNA from 1 species
GCUGGGCAUGGUGGCACAUGCCUGUAGUCCCAGCUACUCGGGAGGCUGAGGUGGGAGAAUCACUUGAGCCCAGGAGGUCCAGGCUGCAGUGAGCGGAGAUCACACCACUGCACUCCAGCCUGGGCAACAGAGUGAGACUCCUGCCUCAA